UCGGCCCCGGUUCACGUGCGCGCAUCCCGCGCGUGCGACCCGGCGCC
ncrna:Streptomyces sp. CNS615 L31-Actinobacteria ribosomal protein leader